ensembl:lncRNA
AUGAUAUUUCGUGUAGGUUUUGAAAAUAAACGACUCCAUGAAAGAGGAGCGGAGGCGCUUGGAGCACCUGCUGUCGACCCCCAGGGGAGUGAAGUCCAGCGUGUGCUUGGUCUGAAACAGGAGCAUUUUGGCUCGGAUCUCCACGAUGGUCGGAGGCUGGACGGGCACGGCGAUGCUGAAGAGCGCCAGCUGAGGUUUGAUCCCGUUGCCGUUGGAAACCUUCUGGCCGUGGAGGUACUUCAGUCGCCCCUGGAACUUCAGAGCCUGGAAGCCGGAGGAGUUGUCCAGGAGGCAGCGGAAGCGACACACGAAGCUCCUCUCCAGGAAGGACGAGUUCUCCGGGGGGAAGCUGCUCGGGGCUGUACACCACCGCGCUGCCGGCGCUCCGCGACGCUGAGAACACAACGGGUGGAGAUUAAAACACGGCCGCUGGCACCAACGCUGAGAGCGCGGAGGGAACGUACCGUCUCCGCCUGCGGCAGCAGACAGGGGGUUCAGAGCGAAGUGAAGCUGCUGCCUGAACAGCGUCCGGUCAUCGGUGUGGAUGAGCUCGAACACGCUCUGAUGAACCACAUCCGACUGUGGAGAAGACGCAGGUGGGUCACACAUCACAACAACAACAACAUCAGCAGCCUUAGAAGGCUGGUUGGCGUGGCUCAAACCGGCCCUCUCUGAUAACACUAAAAGUCACCUGAUGGAAGCCCAGGUAGUCCUUGACGGUGGAGGAGACGUAGAACACCAAACCGUCUGACGUGACCACCAUCACAAACCCGUUCAACGCCUGGAAGGCAACACAGACUUUAUUUGUGUAGCACAUUUCAACAACAAGGCAAUUCAAAGAACUGCACAUAAAACCAUCAGAGCACUUUCAUCAUUCGACUUUCGCCUGUUUUUUGAAACAGUCAAAAAUAAAAGAACAAAUAUAAAAAUAUGAAUAUUAUAAAAUGAAUAUUUAUGUAGAUGUAUAUGUUUUCAAUCAAAAUCUGAAAACCUGCUGCCGCUUGGUAAUCCAAAAACAAAGCCACCAGCUGCUGAACGUCAGAAGGCCCUUUGUGCGUCCCAAUCACUGCCCGUUGUGGCCACGCGGAACAACAGAGAGAGACAAUGUAGCUGACAGGCGAGCGUCAAUACACGAGGCGCAGGCGCCCUGACAAAGUGCCGGUUUUGUUGGGAGCCAAAGAGCGUGGCCGAGCUCUGGCAUGAGGCCCCAAGACGACCUGUCAAAACCUCCUCCGGCGCGGAUAGACCUGGAUUAGCUCCACACAACGCCGGCAGCGACCAAACAAACAAAAGGCUGACUCGCCAUUUGUGCACCUGCGACGUUUGGCUUAUCAAUCAGGCCGUGGGACUUUCUUCCUCUUGAGUGCAGCAGCAGCUUUCAAUGCAACGGUUUAAAGGUGUGUCAACACUCUUUUCGUACUGUGUGUUGUGAUCUUUGCCUGUUGGGAUGUGUGAGGUGGAUUGUCGGAGCGUGUGGGUUACAGCAGGAUCCUCCAAUCGUAAAAUGCAGCGAUGGAAGAAGUAAAGGGAAGGAGAUCUUGGCCUCGUGUCUCACCUGGAGCAGUAGUUCCCCCUCGGAGAAGCCAGUGGUGUCCGUGCCGUCCCCGUUGGACACUCCGGAGAACAUGGCACUGCUGCUCGUGCUCAUAGUCGCUGCAGAGAAAGGAGACAAAACGGAGACAGAAAGUGUCCAAUGGAUCAGGAUGGAGAUCAAAGAGCAUUAUUUGAUAGAUGUUUGAGGCUCAGAUGGACACGAAGCACACAAUGAGGCCACAGAUCUCACCCUCCACCCCCACCAACCACACAUGUGGCUCUACCAGUGAUCCCCACCUCCACCUGACAUCUCAGAGCUCCAUGGGGCAGCAGAACUUGACCGUGUCCACGUGAGGGAUUCCGAAAAACCUGCCAUUGACUCGGUUGUUUCUACAAAGGGGAGAUGAGUUGCAUCACGCACCAGGCGUCCUGCACCAAGUACAACAACUGCUUCAUCCUGGCAGCUGCUCGUCAUUGUUCUGUGGGCCGCCGCACCGUGUCGGGUCAUGUUAAAAAAUGCUCCUCAACAAGAACACAAGAGUCCUGCUAUUGUUCGGAGAGAUGUUGACGCGGGAAUCCUUUUUUGCAUGUGAAUGGUAGGACGUGCCUUGCGCCUGGAUACAAUGCAAACAAUAUACAAAUGUAAGUCAUCUGUGGCUGCAGGCUUCAGUAGAACCGCAAGAACCUCGCUGGUACAUGUGAGGAAUCACCACUCAUGUUGGAGCAGCAAAAGAAGAAAAGCUGGACUUAAGCCUGAAGACAGAGUUUGUCAUUGCUGCAGAACUGAUCUGGCAGCCUGCACAUGUACACAAACACAGUGCAUCUGCCCCUGGGGUGGUUCUUUUUGGGUAAGCGAUAUCCGACAAGAGUGCUUCCCUUAUCCGGAGCGCCACUACAGGAAGAUCCAAGGAUACGGCCUCUGCCGACCCGUCAGUCCCGUCCUGUCACGCACCCUCUUUUAAGGGGGGGGACGACAACACAACACACAGCCCACCCCUCAGCGGGGACUCACACCAUGCUGGCACACACACACACACACACACACACACACACACACACACACAAACAAACAGCAUAUUAGUGUUUCAGUCAAUCAUUCACAGGGAAAUUGUUCUUUCUAAUCAAUGAUUGCGUGAGUAAGACUUUUUGGACUCUAUUGCAGAGUUGUUGUUCAUGUGCACUUACAGUUCUCUAGGCAGCUGCAAGUGACUGUUUAAGACCUUAUACUUAAAUAUACAUUCACUAUGCACUGCCAUAUAUGUGCUCAUUUUCGUACAUUUCCAGGGUAGAAAUCAGAAAAUUCGAUGACGCUAGGAGCAAAGAUGAUCUUUCAUUAUGUUCACAUAUAAAGUUCAAAAGGUUUUUACAGAGGGAAUUUGAUUCUCUUUUUAUUGCCAUAAAUCAGGAAA